GUUCAAAAUAUACAAAGGAAGUGAAAUGAUGCUGCGUUUAAAACAACUGGGAAGUCGAAAAAAAACACGAUGUUAAAUCAUGGCGUCAGUGAUCUUUAGUUCGGAAAGUCUGAGCUCUAGGGAGAGACCUGACUUCCCGAAAUGCAUGACCAUUCAAAUCGAUUUUUUCCCUCCGAGUUCCCAGGAAGUCGGAGAAUUCCGAGUUUCCAGUUGAUUUGAACGCGACAUGAGCAACCAGCAGGAAAAAUGACAAGACUUAGUGUUAUUAAACAUUGACGAAACACAAAUUAAAUAUAUAUCUAUUUACUAAACAGGGUAAGAUCUCUUUUAUAUAACGUUAGCCUAAUACAAUUUGGAAACCCAAGCUUUGUAGUAACGUUAACUAGCUACUAUGGCUAAUAAUGCUAACGUUAGCUAGCUGUUUUUCUGUUGUCAAGCUGACUUGCUACUGAAGCUAGCUUAGUUAAGUGCUUUUGCAAAAAUGUUACAUGCAAGUCUAAAAUGAAGGGGAGAAUGUCUUGCCUUAUUUUUUUUACAGUGGACAAAUUGCCUGAUUGAUCUGAUGAGAAGGAAGCCCGUUCUGCGUCCUCUUCACUCAAAUGAUGGGGAUCUGUGCCUGUUCCCGGGAGAGCAGUAUACCCUUCUCGUUGGACUCGUUAAAGGAGAAAGCUUCUUCCAGUUCGUGGUAAUUCACUAAGGAUACAGUUACAAGGCCCACCAGCCCCUGCCAACAGUGGUCUAAACAGUUGCCUUGUGAUCUGUGAUCUACAAGGCUGCCAAGUGCUGGACCGUCUGAUCCAAAUUUGGAAUCUUGGAUGGCCCCACCCCCAUUGAGAUCUAAGGAGAAUGAGAAAUGGAGCGACAUAAAGAUGUCUAUGAAGUCCAGGUUUGGUCACAGUGUUGUGGCUCCGCCCAGCAAGCCAAACUUCUAGCCCUUUGUGGAGGAGUCGGAUCAGCCUCCGAAAGUGUUCACUGAGAUCAUCUUAUUUUGCUGCCCUCAUUCAUUUCACUUUUCUCUCAUAACUGAAUGAAUUAAUGCCUGUGGCUUUUCCCAAAGCAAAUAUCUGUUUUUCUAUUUAAAGUAAUGUCUAUCUAGCAAUAAAUUAUUUUAAAACGGGAUGACUAAAACCCAGCAGUAACCCCAAGGUGUAUUUAUGUGACAUCGUUUGUGUCUACUCCAGUUGUGUUCUUAAGGUUUUAGUUAUUUGUUCUGGCACCUUCCUCCAGGACACUGUAAGAUCAACCCAGCGGUGAAUUCGGUGUUGUCUGCACGAAAGCCCUGCGGGGAUGAGACUCCUCUGAAGAGACUGCAGCAACAUCAGCAGCAGGAAGAGGGGAAAGCUCAGAAGCAGAGCAUGUAUUGCAAGGACCUGUUGCUCAGUGUCGCCUCUGAGUUCUGCUUUUAGGAACUGAGGGCAGAAAGCUACCACCAGAAGAAGGCCUUGGAGUCAGUGGGGCAGUGUCAGUGUCAAGGAAGAGCAAGGGGGCUCUGGUCUUCCAAACUGACACCUUUCCACCUGAACAUUGACAUGACAUUUCCAUGUUCAAAUUGUUUUGUGUUUAGGUAGCAGACUGUCAGUAUCAUCUGUUAUGUCUUUGUUGUCUUUCGUCAUGUAUGUAUUUUACUGUUUGUGAUGUGUAUAUAUAAACUGCAGUUGGAAUGGCAUAGGUCACACCAGUCAUAGCCAUAGAUCACUAUCUAGGCUCUGGGCCACACAGUAUCCCAGAGGGAAAAAUCAUCUAAUGUAAUUGGAGAAAAUGGUGCUAUGAUUUGAGAACUGAAAUACUGGUGGUUGUUGUUACUGCAUAUCCUUGGAUAUUCUGCAAUAAUUGGCUGUUGAGACUGUUCUGUAAUAUAUUUUCUUUCAUGGCAAUUCACUACAAAACUGUAUUCUACAUUUUACAUUCAUUCCACUAAUCUAUUAUGUUUGGAAAAGGGCUUUAGAUAACAUGCUAUGUUCCGUCUGGUUCCUCUCUCCAUUAUUUCUUUGCCUUCUUCACGUUACCUCUUAGGAAUUAAACUUUCAGUACCCCAUGUGGUGAAGGUAGUGUAUGAGAAUGACAGAGAGAAAUCCAGAGGAGGAGUCUAUGACAAGGCUCAAUUCACAUUAUAGAUGUCACUGCUGUAUAUAUUGGUAAAAAUGUCCCCCCAAGGCCAUGUGGUGAUAGUGUUAAAUAAAUGUGAAAUAAUG